CCUACGGGAGGCAGCAGUGGGGAAUAUUGCGCAAUGGGCGAAAGCCUGACGCAGCGACGCCGCGUGAGGGAUGAAGGUCUUCGGAUCGUAAACCUCUGUCAGCAGGGAAGAACGGUCACUGUGCUAAUCAGCAGUGAAUUGACGGUCCCUGCAAAGGAAGCACCGGCUAAAUCCGUGCCAGCAGCCGCGGUAAUACGGAGGGUGCGAGCGUUAAUCGGAAUUACUGGGCGUAAAGCGCUCGUAGGCGGUAUGUCAAGUCAAGGGUGAAAGCCCCGCGCUCAACGUGGGAACUGCCUUUGAAACGGGCAAACUGGAGUGUGUGAGAGGAUAGUGGAAUGCCAGGUGUAGGAGUGAAAUCCGUAGAUAUCUGGAGGAACAUCAGUGGCGAAGGCGACUAUCUGGCACAUAACUGACGCUGAGGAGCGAAAGCGUGGGGAGCAAACAGGAUUAGAUACCCCAGUAGUC
rnacentral:rRNA from 1 species